CCUACGGGAGGCAGCAGUGAGGAAUAUUGGUCAAUGGGCGGAAGCCUGAACCAGCCAAGCAGCGUGCGGGACGAAGGCCCCACGCGUUGUAAACUUCUUUUGUACGGGGACAAAAUCCUCCACGAGUGGCUGACCGCAGGUACUUGACGAAUAAGCACCGGCUAACUCCGUGCCAGCAGCCGCGGUAAUACGGAGGAUCCGAGCGUUAUCCGGAUUUAUUGGGCUUAAAGGGAGCGUAGGCGGGCGGUCAAGUCAGCGGUAAAAGCGCGGGGCUCAACCCCGGCCCGCAGUUGAAACUGGACGCCUUGAGAUGACGACAGGCAGGCGGAAUUCGUGGUGUAGCGGUGAAAUGCAUAGAUAUCGCGAAGAACCCCGAUUGCGAAGGCAGCAUGCCGGGGUGCGACUGACGCUGAGGCUCGAAGGUGCGGGUAUCGAACAGGAUUAGAUACCCGUGUAGUC
rnacentral:rRNA from 1 species